GAUGAACGCUGGCGGCGUGCUUAACACAUGCAAGUCGAACGAAGACAUCUGAGUGCUUGCACUUGGAUGGACUGAGUGGCGGACGGGUGAGUAACGCGUGGGUAACCUGCCUUAUACAGGGGGAUAACAGUUGGAAACGACUGCUAAUACCGCAUAAGCGCACGGUAUCGCAUGAUACAGUGUGAAAAAACUCCGGUGGUAUAAGAUGGACCCGCGUCUGAUUAGCUUGUUGGUGAGGUAACGGCCCACCAAGGCGGCGAUCAGUAGCCGGCCUGAGAGGGUGAACGGCCACAUUGGGACUGAGACACGGCCCAAAACUCCUACGGGAGGCAGCAGUGGGGAAUAUUGCACAAUGGGGGAAACCCUGAUGCAGCGACGCCGCGUGAGUGAUGAAGUAUUUCGGUAUGUAAAACUCUAUCAGCAGGGAAGAUAAUGACGGUACCUGACUAAGAAGCAACCGGCUAAAUACGUGCCAGCAGCCG
rnacentral:rRNA from 1 species